AUAGAUAGUUCUAAAGAUGAGCGCACUUUUACAUCUGUGGAGAAAUGUUUGACCUGGAGUUCAAUUCAGAUUUUUAUUUUUGUAAAAUUCCAAUAAAAUACAGUCUAUGAUGGGACAAAACGUGAAAAUGUUCAGAGAUUUAUCAAAGCACUGUAGUUUGCUUUCUGAAACAAUUUCUCCUCCUUUCCUGAUGCCGUAAUGUUCCUGAUCAACACCGAGACGCCGCUCCUUCCUCAGAGCUGAAAUAUUCAACAUCUAUCCACACUUCUGACAGCCGGAGAGAAAGAGCAAGUUGAGGACUUGAACUCAUCUCUCCUCUCUCCCACUUCUCUGCAACAUCCACUGCUGACAGUCUGUUGCUAAGCAACUGUAAAAUAAAGCAGUGGGCUCUGAAGUCAGCGCGAGAGAAGAGGAAGAGAGUUCACAAGUACUGCAAUACACUACUGUUUGUUUAGCUCUCUGCAUGAUCCCGGCACAUCUCUCGGUUCCCAUCUGUAGAUCCACGAUGACUUGUGACUUCUGGUUGUCGGACGGCCAGCCAAUCAGGGCCGGCUGCGAGGCGGGCUCAUCGGUUCCCUAGGCUACCUGUGUGAUUGACGUUCAGCCUCCUGCAGCGGAGCGCGCGGCGGUGUAUCACUGAUGCUCCUGCUUCCCGGGAGACAGUGGAGAAAUCUGGAAGAGAGGAGAGCCGGAGAGAAAACACAAGAGCAAGUGGAAUGCUAAUUAUUUAAAGUCCUUCAGGUUUUUCCUCCUGCUCUCUUUGCUGGAAAGAUGAAAGCUGCAGCGCAGGAAGAAGCCGGCUGAGGGGAAGGAUUCCCAAAGAAGAGGGAUUUGUUGUGUUUCAGGAGCUACAUGCUGGAGGUGUUGGAGCUGCUGCCUGUUUGCCUGCCUGCGUAGGAGGAAACAUCUCAUCUUCUGAAUCUCUCCGUCUACUACACAUACAAACUUUUAGGGAGUCGUUUCUGCUUCGUUAGAACAGGAAAGUAAGAGGAGAUGAGUCGAAGAUGGAAGGACAUGAGUCGGAUUUGAGCCUGCGUGAUUUUCACCUCGGCCCACGGAUUCGCUGGGAUGGCCCUCAGCCGAGAGAAACAGUAACGCAGGAAAACCUUAUGAAGACAGAAAUAAAGAGGAAAGACAAAGAAAAAGUCCAACUGUGUGAUAAAAAUAUGUUCAGCAUAGCGUGCUACCCAUAAAAACCCUGCAGCGGCUCAGGGGAGGAGUUCAGAGGAGGCAGAGAUGAACCUUACAAACCACAGACCGCCACCUGGGGAUAUAAGCUCCACCCACCUCUGAUACCCAGGGUGACUGACAGACUCACCAAAGCCUCAUACAUCGGCAUCUCAACCCUGUUUGGCCUACAGUACUGGUAGGUUCUCAGCGUUUACCUCUCUUUGGAAAUAUAGACGUUGCAUUUGUUUGAAAGAAAAUGAAAGGCAAAGGAACAAUCUUCAGUCUUUUAUUUAUUCUUUUGUGCAUACCUACAAUCAUUUACAACCAGAUGCAAGCAGCAUUUAGAUAACAAAUGUGCGCAGGUCUUUGUCUAUAUUCUGCUAAUGUCGGUAAUGAAGUUAAAAUCACACAUGAAUUAGUUUGUUCACGAGAUAAGUCACUAAAAGUCAUGGCAGCAAUGGAUGUAAACAUGAGAUGUAUUCUGAAUUCAACCAUCAGAGGAGACGUUGAUGUCUUAUGCAGCUAACAUUUGUGGCUAACGUAUGCAGCUAACGUGGUGUUUUGGGGAAAUUUAAGUCUGCUGUAUUAAUUAUGAAUAAUUAUGGAUUCAACACGUUUGAAUGCCACACAACUUUUCAUGAAUUGUGCGAUGCUGUGAGAGCUCUGGUGGAACCAGCUGCACUUUGUCUGACUAAAUCAAAAACAAACCAUCAUCUUCUUUGUC